CUUCCAAAGCGCUUCAUGAGUCACUGUGGCCACAGAAGCAGUGACAGGUGAACAUAUCAGAACUUGAAGAACUGGUGUGAGCCUCAGCUGGGGAAGGGGGGCUCACCAGAAGGGGCGCAGCAUCAGCUGGCAGGGAACACAGAAAGAUCGAGAAGAGACAGCAUCACCCUAGGAUUGGGCAGAAGGUCUCAGGCAAGCUCAGAGCCCGGCUGCUAAGAACUGCACAACAAAACUCAGACUUUCGGGAGCUUUCAUCCAACCCCUCCUACUGCAGACGGGGAAACUGAGGUUCAGGGUGGGGCUCUUUCAGCCAACUGUGGCAGAGAUGAGACUCCAACAUUAACCUCAUCCACCACAAGCCUAAAGUCUGAGCUGACAAAGCAUGAACCCUUUAGUUCAUUCGAGUAGCACAAGUAAAUAAGAGGGUGAAACAC